rnacentral:lncRNA from 1 species
UUAGAGAGAGGGACUCACAUUCUCUGUAGAAUCUCCCCUCACCAUCUGCCAUCACCUCCUCCUCCACUUACUCAUCCGGCCCACCUGUUCUCCCUUUCCUCCCUUCCCCUUCAUUUCGGUUCACCAUUUCUCCCUCCUCUUCUCCACUGUCUUCUUACUUGGUGCUGAUUUGGCCUUUUCGGUGGCUGAAUUUAGAGCCUUCCCGAAAAUCCUUUUCCAAUCUAAACUUUGGUGAAGUCCGAUGGGCUGUUUGGUUUGUGGGGCGCUCUUGUGUGAUUAGUAGGGGUUAUAAAUCAUAGUGGGUGCUGGGUUAAGGGUUAUGAUCUGAUAUUGUGGCAGCUUAGGGCUUCAAAUUUGGUGAUGUCGUGUGAACUACCACAUUUCACCAUUUCAUAUGCUACUCUCUGCGAAGUCAACUAGCCCUACUAACAAUCAGGUCAUUCUCUCUCUCUCUUUAAAUGUCUGUGUGUGUAUGUGGAUUAUAAAUAUAUUUGGUGUAGCUCCUAACGCAUUAUGAAAAUCUAAUCUGAACCGUGGGUUUCUCGCAUUUUUGCUGUUUCUUUCAUUGUAGGGUUACUUGUGAUUGUAUUAGCGAAAACAAAUUACUGUUUGAAGUUAAUUCUCAAGGGAGUAGUGAUUGAGGUGUAAAAUUGGAUUGUAGUUUACCCCCAUCACUUUAAUAUAAUAAAAAGGUAAAAGAUUCUAGGGUUUUUGUUAAGUAGAAUUUCUGAGGUACUCGAGUCUUGUGGCUACCUGCGAGACUUACAGCACCAGUUUGUCUCUCAUAAGUAUAUUUUUCUGCUUUUUGUCAGGGGAAAAAGAACAGGGGAUCAGUUUCGUGAUUUUGAAAGAAAAUCAGUAAUUUUUGCAAAUGCAAUAAGACGGUUCAUUGUGUUUAAGUAAAUUCUCAUAAUUUUGUAGUUGAUUUAGGGACUGAAAUUCUCUACGUUUAGAUGGUUCUUGUCUUCUUCACUUUUUGAUUGACUUGAUCUAAGGUGUGGACUUUGGGGUAUAUUUUACUAACAGUUGUGGUUCAGGGCAACUGCUUGAUAUUGUUAAGAAUUAUUAUUGUUGUAUAAGAACUUAGCAGGACUGGAAGAUGUGGUUGAAUUUGAAUGAUAGAUGACUGAAGUAUUGGUAAGUUCAUUGUUAUGAUCUCUUACAUAGAAUGGGUAAACAGUUGGCUUUUGGUAACUCUAAUAAGAGGCUUCAAACUCAGUGGUCCAAUCGCAUUUCUCACAUAACAUGAGUCCACUAAUGAAAAUGCUAGAUAGUUUAACUCUCCAUGGUCAAAAUUGGCACUUUGAUCUUCAGAGAUGGCUAAACUUGUUGUUGCCGUUAUGGCUGUAUUUGUGAUGAUAAGACCUUUACCCGGGGCACUUAAAAUGUUGGGAGACGAGGAAAAAGAAGAAGAAGAAGCCCUUUUACAUUCUUUUUUUGGGUAUGUAAGCCCUUUUACAUUCUAUAUAGUAUUGCGAAUAAAUGUUGUGUUGCUCAAUGAAAAUUAGGUGAUAUUGUUGUAAGUCUAGGAAGAUUUAAAAUAGAAUGAAUUUUCUUUUUCCAGUAGAGUCAGAGAUAACACAACAAAGACAUGACUAAAACCAUUUGACAGGGCUUUUGAAAUAUUUAGCAAUUAUUAAUUCCUUUGUAUUCAUCUUAAAAUUGGCUACAUAGGUUUCAAGAUUUCUAUGAGGAAGGAGAGAGAGAAAUGCUGCUGACUGAAGUAUCUGAAUUGCGGGAUCAGGUAUUGCCAAAUGUAAACUAGAUCAAAUGUUUUCAUUUUUCUAGUUAUCUAAAUCAAAUUCCUCUAUUUACAGCAAUCCAGUUUCUAAAAUUUCUGGAAUUUUAGGAAAUGGGAAGAACAAAGGAACUGGUUAAGUUUUUGCUAUAUGAAAGUCUUGGUAGUUGGUAGCAUAUCAUAUAAUGAACCUCAAAAGAGUGAAAACUUUUAGAAGAAUUUUGUUGUUAACUGUAAACUUUAAAGAUAAAGCAGUAUUUACUGUUGAUUCUAGUUUUUUUAGUGACUGUAGUUUCAUUUGAAUCAGAAAAUGUUGAUUCUAUUUUAGUUAGUAGUAUGAUAUAGAUGCAGUUGGACACUAAGGUGUGGAAGAAAUGCCAGAGGCAUGAGAAUAACCUCAAGGUGGGUUCCAAUCUUCAUAUUUAGGGCCAAAGUCACCUAUCAAAACAGUUAUAUAAAUGCAGUUUUGUAAAGUCAGAAGUAGCUUGACGUGGGUACCGAAUGAAUGAGAGUCGGCUAACAUGGUUUCACCACUGGUUUUCCUAAAAAAUACUCUCGAUGCCUAUGAUAGAGAAUAUUUGGUAUUUGAUUAAGCAAAAUUGAAAAAAGAUCAUUGAAGUGUUUCAAGUUGAUAAGAUUUCAUGUUUGGAGUUGAUGAUUAUAUACACAUUUAUAUACUUCAGCAUUAGAGAGACAAACUUAUUUGGAAAAAAAAUUGUAAUAUGGAUGAAUUAGAAUAUCUGCACCACGUCUUGUAGUAUUACUCAUUUGCGUAGUCGUUAUAGUAUCAUUCGAUUAGUCAUGUACAUUUGGCGAUGUAGUUUGUACAAGUGUAUACUUUUUAAGCUUUUGUUUAACAUAAAUACGAUUUUAGUGAUUACAUAUGCUAACAAGCUGUUUCUUGUUACCAUAGUAUGUUGAUCUUUGGUUACUGACUUUAGUUAUGUGCAGGUGUUUCACUGAAGACUCAAGAGCUCUAUGCUCUUGUUUUUGCUACUCGCUACUUUGAUAUAUUU